UUCACACCAGUCAGGCGAACAGGUUCUAGUGUAAAGUCACCUGAGGAACUGGAACCAGAAGAGUUUCCUCUGACGCCCCCCGGACCAACCGACGGGUUCCCUCUCCGCCGAAGGAGCGCUCGUGCGUAUCACCCCCCACGUCACCCCCCCUCACCUGCUUCCGGUUUGCUCAGGUGAUGUUUACUCUGACGGUGUGAAAACGUGUCAAUACGUUCCCUGUUUGUUUGUGUUUUUGUGGACUUUGUUGACGAUGAAUACACAUUUAAAAAGAAGAUAAUAUCACCAGACUUUGUACUUUUAAAGAGUGUUGAAGAGAGUAAUGAAACCCGUGUACACCGGAGAGGCACAAAUAAACUCACCUCACACGUCUGAGGUACGAAGCUUCACACACAACUUCUCGGAUUUUGUUCGUCUCCGGCUGGAUUUACAAAAAUUCCACGAGGAGAGCAACAGAAUGGGAGGAAGCAGGACACGAGGUCAAAGGAAAGGGCCGAGCGGGAGGAGGAGGAAACGACACAGAAAGACGGGAGCGCUUGAAAAGUUUUUUUUUU